rnacentral:tRNA from 1 species
GGAGGCGUGGCAGAGCGGUUUAAUGUAACGGUUUCGAAAACCGUCGAGGGCUAACCCCCUCCGUGAGUUCGAAUCUCACCGCCUCCGCCA